UUUGGAUAUAUGGAAGAAUUUUUUUAAGGUCAGGGUGGUGAGACACUGCAACGGGCUGCUGAAAGAAGUUCUGUAUGCCCAGUCAUUGAAAGUGUUCAAGGUCAGCUUGGAGAGAGCUUUGAGCAACGUGAUUUAGUGAAAGAUGUUCCUGCCUGUGGCAGGGAGUUGGACCAGCUGAUCCUUAAUGCAUCCCAAACCCUGAUAUGCUUUAUGAUUAUAUGAUUAUGCACCUACCUGCAGGGGGACACCAUGAUGAAGAGCGACCACAGCUGAGGGCCUGGAGUGGUGAUGCCAGCUGGGUUAGGUGAAGGGUGGGCAUAUAGGGAACGGUGAUUCUGAAAGAACCUGCCCAGGAGCUUUCAAAGAAUUGGCGAUGCCUUCAGUCUCCUCAGAGGACGCCCUGGAAAAGCUGACCCAGCUAUCUGUCUUUGCUGCCUGGGGAUUGUGCCUGUGGCUGGUGCCCAAAACCUCAGCUGAAAUCUGUGUGCAAGAGGGGGAACACAACAGUUUAUUCAAGCUCCAUUGUCCCCACCAUCUUUCAUGUGUCUUUCACAUCAAGGUAAAAAGAGUCUCAUCAGUUUUCUUCUUUAUAACAAAGCAAAUAAUAUUCUGAAAGUUUGAGCAAUGCCUUUCAAUACAGGAACAGCUCCAGAAAUGUCCUACAAAAGCCAUUUUUCUAAUAGAGAAGGCUGCUACCUGACUGUUCUGUAACAAUCAAGGAAAUUCAUGAGUCCCUAUUUCCCCCUAGAAGACAUGAAGUCUCAGGAUCCCCUAAUAAAUUUCUUUCCAAUCAGGCCUGAAGAAAUCA
rnacentral:lncRNA from 1 species